GAUCCUGGCUCAGGAUGAACGCUGGCGGUAUGCUUAUACAUGCAAGUCGUACGAGAGUUUUAACUCAAGUGGCGGACGGGUGAGUAACACGUAAGAAUUUGCCUUUAGGAGGGGGAUAACAACUGGAAACAGUUGCUAAUACCCCAUAUGCUUUCUAGUGAAAUGGACUUUUCCGCCUAAAGAGAAGCUUGCGGCUGAUUAGCUUGUUGGUAAGGUAAUGGCUUACCAAGGCGACGAUCAGUAUCUGGUUUGAGAGGACGAUCAGACACACUGGAACUGAGACACGGUCCAGACUCCUGCGGGAGGCAGCAGUAGGGAAUUUUCCGCAAUGGGCGAAAGCCUGACGGAGCAAUACCGCGUGAGGGAUGACGGCCUAUGGGUUGUAAACCUCUUUUUCAGGGAGGAACAAAAUGACGUGUACCUGAAGAAUAAGCAUCGGCUAACUCCGUGCCAGCCGCCGC
rnacentral:rRNA from 1 species